rnacentral:rRNA from 1 species
CCUACGGGAGGCAGCAGUGAGGAAUAUUGGUCAAUGGACGAGAGUCUGAACCAGCCAAGUAGCGUGAAGGAUGACUGCCCGAUGGGGUGUAAACUUCUUUUAUAGGGGAAUAAAAUGUUCCACGGGUGGGAUUUUGUAUGUACCAUAUGAAUAAGGAUCGGCUAACUCCGUGCCAGCAGCCUCGGUAAUACGGAGGAUCCGAGCGUUAUCCGGAUUUAUUGGGUUGAAAGGGAGCGUAGGUGGCUUGUUAAGUCAGUUGUGAAAGUUUGCGGCUCAACCGUAAAAUUGCAGUUGAAACUGGCAGUCUUGCGUACAGUAGAGGUGGGCGGACUUCGUGGUGUAGCGG